UCAAAACAGACCUAACCAAAACAAAUUUAAUUUUCAUGUUUGGCCUUUUGCAUUAUAUUUAAUGUUUCAGCGUUUUUAUCAUUAUUUGAGUAUUUCGAAAGAGUUUUACGUUAAAUACUUUCUGAGGUGAGGUGAUUAUGGAUACAAUGGGAUACAAGACCGUCUGAACAACCGCAGGUGCUGACUGAAACGACAUCCGUUCCGAAAAAACGGUUCAGUUGGAUAAGGCUGGACGUACCAUUCACGGCAAACUGUUCGACACUGACGAAGAAUAAAAGUCCCCGGUGAAAAGCGCCGGAGAAAACGUUCUAGGCGAGUCUGGGAGCGGAAAGAGCUGUUAGGAAUCAACGCCGAUGUUUUGUUGGAAUGUGCCGACCGAUUUUGCUGCUACGGUUCUGAAAAACGCACGACUUUUCCGGCUGCAGUGGUAGGGAAGAGACCGGUAGCGAGGAUAUUUGAGGGAGUGGCCAUAAGUUACAAGGAACCGUUACCCGGACGAAAUAGUGCAGCAGGUCGCACACGUGAUCUACAUCGGUCCGGAAGAGAAGCAGCUCAAGGCGAUGCGGGAGUCUUGCUGAUUUCGAUUGAACACUUGGGAUUUUGUAAGAUUUAGGUGGCCAGGUAGUUUCAAGGAUUCAAAAUGAAAUAAAUUGUGAUAUUUUGAAACAUAUUCCAA